CGCGUAGGUGGUUUGGUAAGCGAGAUGUGAAAGCCCCGGGCUUAACCUGGGAACGGCAUUUCGAACUGUCAGACUAGAGUGUGGUAGAGGGUAGUGGAAUUUCCUGUGUAGCGGUGAAAUGCGUAGAUAUAGGAGGGAACACCAGUGGCGAAGGCGGCUACCUGGACCAACACUGACACUGAGGUGCGAAAGCGUGGGGAGCAAACA
rnacentral:rRNA from 1 species